CCUACGGGUGGCAGCAGUGAGGAAUAUUGGGCAAUGGGAGAGAUCCUGAACCAGCCAAGCCGCGUGAGGGAAGACGGCCCUAUGGGUUGUAAACCGCUUUUGGCGGAGAACAAAACCAGGGUAGUGUCCCGGACUGCGUGUAUCAGAAGAAAAAGCAUCGGCUAACGCCGGUCCAGCAGCCGCGGAAAUACGGAGGAUGCGAGCGGUAUCUGGCUUGAUGGGGUGUAAAGGGUGCUUAGGGGGACCGUGAAGUCGGCGGUAAAAUUGCGGGGCUCAACCCCGUCGAGCCGUUGAAUAUGGCAGACUUGAGUGGGCGAGAAGUACGCGGAAUGCGCGGUGUAGCGGUGAAAUGCAUAGAUAUCGCGAAGAACUCCGAUUGCGAAGGCAGCGUACCGGCGCCAGACUGACGCUGAGGCACGAAAGCGUGGGGAUCGAACAGGAUUAGAUACCCGUGUAGUC
rnacentral:rRNA from 1 species